rnacentral:lncRNA from 1 species
CAUUUGUAUAUCCAGCAUCACAUAAUUAAUAGAAACCUAUCAUAAAUAAAACUAGGUUAGAGAAACAAACACAAUAUCUAUGUAAUCCUAAUAUGUUUAUUUACGAAAUGAGUAAAACUAUUACCUUGGGACACUUUUAAACCUGAUAUUGUAUCUCUUAGCACUCUACCAUCUACAGCUGAUCCUUCCCACUAAGAUAAAACAUAGAUGAAUUACAUAUCUUGACUGCAAACUCCUAAAACAUUCAUAGCUAUUUCACCUUUUCUUGUUCUAUACUUAGACUUCUUAAUAUCAUGGAUAGUGCACCUAAUAUAUCUUCCAUCCAGGUGAUUUUGUUUCCAUCAUGUUCCAUCUAAAGCACCUAGACAAUUCUAAAACAAAAAAUAUAAUUAAUAUAAUGCUUUUGUAAAUUACAAAAUAAUAUAAAAAUUUUUCAACCAAUAUUAAAAGAUACCUUAAAUCACUUUCAUCUAUAGUCACACUACAAUAGGAUAUUAGCGACGAAAAAAAUUCAUCGCUAAUAAUGAAUUUUCAUCGCUAAUAGUUAUUAG